rnacentral:rRNA from 1 species
UACGAAGGGGGCUAGCGUUGCUCGGAAUCACUGGGCGUAAAGGGUGCGUAGGCGGGUCUUUAAGUCAGGGGUGAAAUCCUGGAGCUCAAUUUCAGAACUGCCUUUGAUACUGAAGAUCUUGAGUUCGGGAGAGGUGAGUGGAACUGCGAGUGUAGAGGUGAAAUUCGUAGAUAUUCGCAAGAACACCAGUGGCGAAGGCGGCUCACUGGCCCGAUACUGACGCUGAGGCACGAAAGCGUGGGGAGCAAACAGG